rnacentral:lncRNA from 1 species
AAUAAUACAUAUAUGUCAUAUUUGCUCAUCUUAAGAGGCAGAUGAUUGUAAAAGAGAUAAGAUAUUGAUAAUAAACUCUAGAUACAAACAAGGAUGUGAUUGAAUUGGGAAAAGAUCUAUAACAAAGUGCCAUGGGAAUUGAAAUAGGAGAUGUUUAGGGCAAGGAGAAAAAGGACAACUUCAUUAUUAUUUGGCAUGUGAUCUAGGCAUAUUUGGGGAACACUGAAAAGGACAAGGGACAGCAUGAAUGAAAUCUUGGGGUAUGGACAAAAGUGGACCAUGUUGUAGUGACAGAAACGAAUUUCUUCAGAUUGAUAAAUGAGUCAGCCACACAGCAGGAUGGGAUGCCUGAGUCCAAGGCUCCCUGGGCAAGACUCUGUCACCACCCACUUUCAAAACAUAAUGAAUUAUUCAUUUAUUUGUCCUGUUCCCUCCACUCCUAGACCUCUUCACCCUAUUAAACCUCUAGUACAUUUAUAAUUACAGAGAUGCUCAAUUUUUUUUUUUGAAUCAAUGAAAGAAAAACAUAAGAUCAAAAAGCAUGUUGGACUCUUGGAAAAAAAAUAAUAAUAACAGCCGAAGUGCUCAAUGGAAGGAGACUGGACAGACUCCAUAUGUAGUAGUAUCCAGUGAACUGGGGAAAGAUUUGAAUCAGAGUGCAAAGUAGUAAGAACCCAUUUUAGUAGAACUGAUCAAGAAGAAAGGAUUGAAGUGUUGUCUUUCCAAGUGGAGUUCCAAUCUUGGAGCCUCAACUUCUAUGUCUGGCAGAAGGAAACACUGGAAACUAUUAUAUUAAUUAGAAAAGGAAUGAGGCCUGGGGAUGACAGAUAAUGUCAGGGGGUAAUAACAAUCUGAUAUCAACAAAAGGAAUGGUAUACAAAGUCAAUGUAGGGAGAGGGAAAAGUCAGAGGCAAUCAUGUAAGAUUAUAAACAUGUAAGAUAGUAGAGAUGGAGAAAUGGUAAAAAAAAAAUUUGGCACAAUAAAAAGUGAACAACAGAGGAUUAUGAGAUUUGUAACAAAUAAAUCUGUAUCUGAAUCCUCUGAAAAUUCUGUUCUCUUGCUAUAGCACAGACACCUUUUUCCCCUAAUGAGACAUAUACUUUUAAGCAUUCCAUUUUAAGUAAGUUUUGACUUGUUUUGACAAGUAUAACAAGUUAUGCUGUACUUUUUAUUAAUCAAUAAUAAAGAUUGAUUUUCAUUCAAAAUAAGCACACAAAAUAAAUGUCAAAUUUAAGAAAUUCAUAUGUAAGUUUUUGUUGAUAAUAGACCUAAAAAU